rnacentral:rRNA from 1 species
UAGGUUAACGAGGCGAACCGGGGGAACUGAAACAUCUAAGUACCCCGAGGAAAAGAAAUCAACCGAGAUUCCCCCAGUAGCGGCGAGCGAACGGGGAGCAGCCCAGAGUCUGAAUCAGCUUGUGUGUUAGUGGAACGGUCUGGAAAGUCCGACGGUACAGGGUGAUAGUCCCGUACACCAAAAUGCACAGGCUGUGAACUCGAAGAGUAGGGCGGGACACGUGGUAUCCUGUCUGAAUAUGGGGGGACCAUCCUCCAAGGCUAAAUACUCCUGACUGACCGAUAGUGAACCAGUACCGUGAGGGAAAGGCGAAAAGAACCCCGGCGAGGGGAGUGAAAAAGAACCUGAAACCGUGUACGUACAAGCAGUGGGAGCACCUUCGGGUGUGACUGCGUACCUUUUGUAUAAUGGGUCAGCGACUUAUAUUCUGUAGCAAGGUUAACCGUAUAGGGGAGCCGCAGGGAAACCGAGUCUUAACUGGGCGUUAAGUUGCAGGGUAUAGACCCGAAACCCGGUGAUCUAGCCAUGGGCAGGUUGAAGGUUGGGUAACACUAACUGGAGGACCGAACCGACUAAUGUUGAAAAAUUAGCGGAUGACUUGUGGCUGGGGGUGAAAGGCCAAUCAAACCGGGAGAUAGCUGGUUCUCCCCGAAAGCUAUUUAGGUAGCGCCUCGUGAACUCAUCUUCGGGGGUAGAGCACUGUUUCGGCUAGGGGGUCAUCCCGACUUACCAACCCGAUGCAAACUACGAAUACCGAAGAAUGUUAUCACGGGAGACACACGGCGGGUGCUAACGUCCGUCGUGAAGAGGGAAACAACCCAGACCGCCAGCUAAGGUCCCAAAGUCAUGGUUAAGUGGGAAACGAUGUGGGAAGGCACAGACAGCCAGGAUGUUGGCUUAGAAGCAGCCAUCAUUUAAAGAAAGCGUAAUAGCUCACUGGUCGAGUCGGCCUGCGCGGAAGAUGUAACGGGGCUAAACCAUGCACCGAAGCUGCGGCAGCGACACUAUGUGUUGUUGGGUAGGGGAGCGUUCUGUAAGCCUGCGAAGGUGACCUGUGAGGGUUGCUGGAGGUAUCAGAAGUGCGAAUGCUGACAUAAGUAACGAUAAAGCGGGUGAAAAGCCCGCUCGCCGGAAGACCAAGGGUUCCUGUCCAACGUUAAUCGGGGCAGGGUGAGUCGACCCCUAAGGCGAGGCCGAAAGGCGUAGUCGAUGGGAAACAGGUUAAUAUUCCUGUACUUGGUGUUACUGCGAAGGGGGGACGGAGAAGGCUAUGUUAGCCGGGCGACGGUUGUCCCGGUUUAAGCAUGUAGGCUGAUUGUCCAGGCAAAUCCGGAUAAUCAAGGCUGAGGUGUGAUGACGAGGCACUACGGUGCUGAAGUAACAAAUGCCCUGCUUCCAGGAAAAGCCUCUAAGCAUCAGGUAACAU